rnacentral:rRNA from 1 species
UACGGGGGGGGGCAAGCGUUGUUCGGAAUUACUGGGCGUAAAGGGCUCGUAGGCGGCCCAACUAAGUCAGACGUGAAAUCCCCAGGCUCAACCUGGGAACUGCGUCUGAUACUGGAUGGCUUGAAUCCGGGAGAGGGAUGCAGAAUUCCAGGUGUAGCGGUGAAAUGCGUAGAUAUCUGGAGGAAUACCGGUGGCGAAGGCGGCAUCCUGGACCGGCAUUGACGCUGAGGAGCGAAAGCCAGGGAGCAAACGGG